UACGUAGGCGGAAAAUCAAGUCAGUAGUGAAAUCCUGCAGCUUAACUGUAGAACUGUUAUUGAUACUGGUUUUCUUGAAUAUAGUUGAGGUAGGCGGAAUGUGUAAUGUAGCGGUGAAAUGCUUAGAUAUUACACAGAACACCGAUUGCGAAGGCAGCUUACUAAGCUAUGAUUGACGCUGAGGUACGAAAGCGUGGGGAGCGAACAGGAUUAGAUACCCUGGUAGUC
rnacentral:rRNA from 1 species